GAUGAACGCUCGCGGCAGGCCUAAUACAUGCAAGUCGGACGGGAUUCAGGAGCUUGCUUCUGAUGAGAGUGGCGCACGGGUGCGUAACACGUAUGUAACCUACCUUUAUCAGGGGGAUAGCCUCUCGAAAGAGAGAUUAAGCCCGCAUAAAAUCACAGCACAGCCUUGUGUAAUGAUCAAAUAUUUAUAGGAUAAAGAUGGGCAUGCGGAACAUUAGCUAGAUGGCGGGGUAACGGCCCACCAUGGCGACGAUGUUUAGGGGAUCUGAGAGGAUGGCCCCCCACACUGGUACUGAGACACGGACCAGACUCCUACGGGAGGCAGCAGUAAGGAAUAUUGGUCAAUGGGCGGAAGCCUGAACCAGCCAUGCCGCGUGCAGGAAGACGGCCCUACGGGUUGUAAACUGCUUUUAUACGGGAAUAAACCCAGAUACGUGUAUCUGGCUGAAUGUACUGUAAGAAUAAGGAUCGGCUAACUCCGUG
rnacentral:rRNA from 1 species